CUUCCGUCCAUUGCAGCGGGCAGACAAUUGCUACGGAAACGGAAUCAGUUAGACAUCACUUAGUCGAUAGAUUCCUGUCCAUCGACAAUACAGAAAGUCUGUUUCUUUGGGCGUAUAAUACCCGACCAGUAGGAGCACACUGGUUGUUGCUUGCUAUCAACCCUAUAAGAGAAGUGGUAUAUUUUCUGAAUUCGGUAGAUGGUGAGUGGAGCAACUAUCCGACUAUGAAGUCAAUGAUUGAUACAUCAAUACAAGUGUUCCGAAGUCAAAGAGACGCACAGGUAUCCCGGACUAAAUCAAACAUUACUUGGAUCAAAG